AGAGAGAGACAUGCGCGCAUAUCAAUAAGCGGAGGAAAAGAAACUAACUAGGAUUCCCUUAGUAACGGCGAGUGAAGCGGGAAGAGCUCAAAUUUGAAAUCUUCAAGGUUUUACCUUGACGAAUUGUAGUUUAAAGAAGUGUUUUCUGCUGAAGUUUUGGUAAAAGUUCUUUGGAAUAGGACAUCAUAGAGGGUGAGAAUCCCGUAUUUGACCAUUAUUUUCAGCUUUGUGAUACACUUUCAAAGAGUCGGAUUGUUUGGGAAUGCAGUCCAAAAUGGGUGGUAAAUUUCAUCUAAAGCUAAAUAUUGGCGAGAGACCGAUAGCGAACAAGUACCGUGAGGGAAAGAUGAAAAGAACUUUGAAAAGAGAGUUAAACAGUACGUGAAAUUGUCAAAAGGGAAGCGUUUGACACCAGUGUUGUUUUCUCGAAAAUCAAUUAAAAAUGGCUCGAUUUUGUAUUGUUGAGACCUUAAAAGCUCACUGUACAUUUUUCGUGUCUUUUUUAAUGCACUUUUCGUUUAACAAGUCAACAUCAGUUUCUUUUGUUGUAAAAGGGUCAUUGGAAGGUGGCUUUCUUUUCGGAGAAAGUGUUUAUAGCCUUUGGCCUCUGCAAUCGGAAGAGACUGAGGUCUGCAGCGUAGACUCUUCGGGGUUAGAUACAUUUGUGCUAAGUUAUAGCUUUUUAUAGACAACUUGUUGACUAUAAUUAGUCUUGUAGCUUACUCGCUUAUGCUAUUUUACCUACGCUUAGGAUGUUGAAGUCAUCGUAUCGCG
rnacentral:rRNA from 1 species